rnacentral:rRNA from 1 species
UACAGAGGGUGCGAGCGUUAAUCGGAAUUACUGGGCGUAAAGCGUGCGCAGACGGUCAUGUAAGUCGGGUGUGAAAGCCCCGGGCUCAACCUGGGAAUGGCAUUUGAUACUCGAGGGCUUGAGUACGGGAGAGGAGAGUGGAAUUCCCAGUGUAGAGGUGAAAUUCGUAGAUAUUGGGAAGAACACCGGUGGCGAAGGCGGCUCUCUGGACCGUAACUGACGCUGAGGCGCGAAAGCGUGGGGAGCAAACAGG